UAUGGCUUUUUUCCUUAUUUAAUACUUCUUAAUUUCUAAAUUUUCUACAAAAAUUUUAUACUCAGAAAAAAAUAAUUUUGUUGCUUUUUUAAAAAAACAAAGUGAAGCAACUGCUAGACAUGGCAGAAAAAGUGCUUAUUCCUUAUUACUACCUGGGUAUGACCUCUUCUGUUUCCUAGGAAUAAGGUUCUAUUUGUACUUCUAGAAUAGCUUCUUCUUUCUCUAACAUUCUGUUAAGAUAUGUCCUGAUCUCCUAAAGCCACAGAAUCCCAGAGACUCAAAGUAAAUUUCUCUUUGAUAAAUCAGAAGGCUCUGCAUAAAUCUCACACUCAAAUUCCAAUCGACCUGACCAGCAGAAGAGACAAAAAGGGAAAAUCCUGGCCAUUUCUCCCCUACCUGAUCAACCAGUAACAUAAUCAGAUUUGCAAGACCUCAAGAAAAGAAACCUGAAAAUGCCACUGGAGGUGUGUGUUUUGCCAAGGAAAAAAGAAUCAAAAACAAAACCUGCAGGAUGAGGACAAAGAAACAAGGAGCAGGGGUCUCACCCAUGAGCCUUGUGAUGGAUGAGGAAAAGAUAUUCUUUUUCUCCCCUUACAGUUUCUGGCAGCCAACAUGGGGUGGCUGUGACACCCCACUAGUUCCAGAACCUGCAGAUGAGAUCCUGGG